rnacentral:rRNA from 1 species
AACGAACGCUGGCGGCAUGCCUAACACAUGCAAGUCGAACGGGAUCCGGACUUCGGUUCGGUGAGAGUGGCGGACGGGUGAGUAACGCGUGGGAACCUGCCCAGCGGUGGGGGAUAACUGCGGGAAACUGCAGCGAAUACCGCAUGAGCCCGAGAGGGGCAAGAUUUAUCGCCAUUGGAGGGGCCCGCGUUCGAUUAGGUAGUUGGUGGGGUAACGGCCCACCAAGCCGACGAUCGAUAGCUGGUCUGAGAGGAUGAUCAGCCACACUGGGACUGAGAUACGGCCCAGACUCCUACGGGAGGCAGCAGUGGGGAAUAUUGGACAAUGGGGGCAACCCUGAUCCAGCAAUGCCGCGUGAGUGAUGAAGGCCUUCGGGUUGUAAAGCUCUUUUGCCAGGGACGAUGAUGACGGUACCUGGGGAAUAAGCCCCGGCUAACUUCGUGCCAGCCGCCGCAGUAACAC